GCAUUGGUGGUUCAGUGGUAGAAUUCUCGCCUGCCACGCGGGAGACCCCGGGUUCGAUUCCCAGCCAAUGCA
rnacentral:tRNA from 1 species